rnacentral:rRNA from 1 species
CAUACACAUGCAGUCGUACAAGAGUAACGCAAGCAGCUUGCUGGUUUGCUGACGAGUGGCGGACGGGUGAGUAAUGUCUGGGAAACUGCCUGAUGGAGGGGGAUAACUACUGGAAACGGUAGCUAAUACCGCAUAACGUCGCAAGACCGAAGAGGGGGACCUUCGGGCCUCUUGCCAUCGGAUGUGCCCAGAUGGGAUUAGCUAGUAGGUGGGGUAACGGCUCACCUAGGCGACGAUCCCUAGCUGGUCUGAGAGGAUGACCAGCCACACUGGAACUGAGACACGGUCCAGACUCCUACGGGAGGCAGCAGUGGGGAAUAUUGCACAAUGGGCGCAAGCCUGAUGCAGCCAUGCCGCGUGUAUGAAGAAGGCCUUCGGGUUGUAAAGUACUUUCAGCGGGGAGGAAGGCGAUAAGGUUAAUAACCUUGUCGAUUGACGUUACCCGCAGAAGAAGCACCGGCUAACUCCGUGCCAGC